rnacentral:miRNA from 9 species
UUUGGUUAUCUAGCUGUAUGA